UACAGAGGGUGCAAGCGUUAAUCGGAAUUACUGGGCGUAAAGCGUGCGUAGACGGUAGCGUAAGUCGGGUGUGAAAGCCCCGGGCUCAACCUGGGAAUUGCAUUCGAGACUGCUCUGCUAGGGUGCGGAAGAGGGAAGCGGAAUUUCCGGUGUAGCGGUGAAAUGCUUAGAUAUGACAUAGAACAUCGAUUGCGAAGGCAGCUCGCUACGCUAUUAUUGACACUGAGGCACGAAAGCGUGGGGAUCAAACAGG
rnacentral:rRNA from 1 species